AUGAAGACAGCAUCCACCAGUUGAGUUCCAUAAGCAGCCCUCGGAUUUGUCCAGCUUCUUGUUACCGCAAGCAAAAACCCUAAGUGUCCUUUACUCAAUUCACUGCCAUGGAUAAUAUUGAAGAGGACAUCAAGGCACUGCAGCUUGAUUCAUCCGAAGAUAGCGUGAUGGUUAACGUGGAAGACGGAAAACCCGAGGAAGCUAUAAAACCUG